GCAGUCGAACGAUGAACACUUCGGUGGGGAUUAGUGGCGAACGGGUGAGUAACACGUGGGCAAUCUGCCCUGCACUCUGGGACAAGCCCUGGAAACGGGGUCUAAUACCGGAUAUGAGCCUGGGAGGCAUCUCCCGGGUUGUAAAGCUCCGGCGGUGCAGGAUGAGCCCGCGGCCUAUCAGCUUGUUGGUGAGGUAACGGCUCACCAAGGCGACGACGGGUAGCCGGCCUGAGAGGGCGACCGGCCACACUGGGACUGAGACACGGCCCAGACUCCUACGGGAGGCAGCAGUGGGGAAUAUUGCACAAUGGGCGCAAGCCUGAUGCAGCGACGCCGCGUGAGGGAUGACGGCCUUCGGGUUGUAAACCUCUUUCAGCAGGGAAGAAGCGAGAGUGACGGUACCUGCAGAAGAAGCGCCGGCUAACUACGUGCCAGCAGCCGCGGUAAUACGUAGGGCGCAAGCGUUGUCCGGAAUUAUUGGGCGUAAAGAGCUCGUAGGCGGCUUGUCACGUCGGUUGUGAAAGCCCGGGGCUUAACCCCGGGUCUGCAGUCGAUACGGGCAGGCUAGAGUUCGGUAGGGGAGAUCGGAAUUCCUGGUGUAGCGGUGAAAUGCGCAGAUAUCAGGAGGAACACCGGUGGCGAAGGCGGAUCUCUGGGCCGAUACUGACGCUGAGGAGCGAAAGC
rnacentral:rRNA from 1 species